AUUGAACGCUGGCGGCAGGCCUAACACAUGCAAGUCGAACGAGUGGCGGACGGGUGAGUAAUGUCUGGGACACUGCCUGAUGGAUGGUGAUAACUACUGGACACGUUAGCUAAUACCGCAUACCCUCGGAUGUGCCCAGAUGGGAUUAGCUAGUAGGUGGGGUAACGGCUCACCUAGGCGACGAUCCCUAGCUGGUCUGAGAGGAUGACCAGCCACACUGGAACUGAGACACGGGCCAGACUCCUACGGGAGGCAGCAGUGGGGAAUAUUGCACAAGGGGCGCAAGCCUGAUACAGCCAUGCCGCGUGUAUGAAGAAGGCCUUCGGGUUGUAAAGUACUUUCAGCGGGGAGGCGGUACCCGCAGAAGAAGCACCGGCUAACUCCGUGCCAGCAGCCGCGGUAAUAC
rnacentral:rRNA from 1 species